rnacentral:rRNA from 1 species
GACAGAGGUGCCAAGCGUUAGGCGGAAUCACUGGGCUUAAAGCGUGUGUAGGCGGGCGAUCAAGUACCUUGUGAAAUCCCACGGCUCAACCGUGGAACUGCUGGGUAUACUGGUUGUCUUGAGCCAGCUAGGGGCGAGCGGAACAGACGGUGGAGCGGUGAAAUUCGUAGAUAUUCGCAAGAACACCAGUGGCGAAGGCGGCUCACUGGCCCGAUACUGACGCUGAGGCACGAAAGCGUGGGGAGCAAACAGG